UGGGGAAUCUUGCGCAAUGGGCGAAAGCCUGACGCAGCAACGCCGCGUGAGCGAAGAAGGCCUUCGGGUUGUAAAGCUCUGUCAGGGGGAAAGAAGGCACCUGGGUUAAUAGCCCAAGGGCUGACGGUACCCCCAAAGGAAGCCACGGCUAACUACGUGCCAGCAGCCGCGGUAAUACGUAGGUGGCAAGCGUUGUCCGGAAUCAUUGGGCGUAAAGAGCGCGUAGGUGGCUUGUCAGGUCUGAUGUGAAAUUUCGGGGCUCAACUCCGAACCUGCAUCGGAAACCGGCUUGCUAGAGUCUGGGAGAGGAGAGUGGAAUUCCUGGUGUAGCGGUGAAAUGCGUAGAUAUCAGGAGGAACACCGGUAGCGAAGGCGGCUCUCUGGAACAGUACUGACGCUGAGGCGCGAAAGCUAGGGGAGCGAACAGG
rnacentral:rRNA from 2 species